CCUGCUCGGUGUCGACCUCAAGAAGGAUCGCUGGUGGGUCGUUUUUCUCGGCCUCUUUCUCUUCACGUCCUGAACUCAGUCUCUUCGGGACUCACUUCCACGCUCUCCUAGUCUCUUUGGCACUCACAUCCACGUGGCGCUUUAGCCAGCCCUUCCUUCCCAGCCCCCUUGCUGCACCUCGAGCCGGCUCUUCCUCCACCUGGGCAGGGCGGCCGGGGCCCCAGAUGCGCUCCAAGCCUUGAUUCCUGUCUGCCUUAUCCUAGUAGGGGUUUUCCCCUCCUCUAACUUUCCACGUUCGUCUGGUUCCAAGUCAAGACUCUCCUGCAGCAACUGUCAAGCCCCUCUCGGUUCCCUGGCACUCUCCUGCGUUGUUUCUUAACUGUAUAAUGCACAGGAUAAACCUUAAACCGAAGGCUGUCUCCUGCGAGGACCAGAAGUUGAGCCAAGGCACAUGGAACUUACAAUAGCAGAUGGGCAGAAGGAGAACUCCUGAAGCCUCCGAAGGAAGGAAAUCAUUACAGGGCCCUACAGAAGUAGGUCAUGUGCUACAGCUGCUCAUAGUUUAAGAGGAAGAAACAUGGGAUCUCAAACCUGGAACACGACUCUUUCAAAAUGCUUGUGAGCAACCCAAGAAAAACAUCCUCCUGAGGCUUAUCUAAUAACCAUGAUCUCUAAUCGUCUCAAUGUGUGCUCAUGUUUCCUUAGGAGUUUGCACCCACUUCUCAGAGCUAACGAGAUGCCGAAACAGAACACAGAAAAAAGUAAUGAAGGAGAUUUAAUAGUUUGUGUUAAAGCUAAUAUGGUCCAUUAGGGGCUGUCAUUUUUAUAAACAGUGAGGAUACGUUACCCUCUUCUUUGGUGUAAAGUCAUUCCGUGCAGGACCUGUAAACAUUCAGUAAUGAUCUGUAGAACAUGCAUGAACGACAAUUAAAGCACCACUUGAAAAGUCUGUUUUCCUCACAUAUUUGUUUUCUUGCUAAAUAAACUUGUAAAGUUCA
ensembl:lncRNA MRPS9-AS2 MRPS9 antisense RNA 2